UAAAUGUAAUCUAUUUUAAAUUUAGGCUGUACAACAAAAUUUGGAGUAAUUCAAGGAGUGUGAAUACUUUAAGGCAUUGUAAUAUAAUACUUGUGACAGCUUUACUGACAAUACUUCUAUCCCCAGCAUCGAUCAAAUUAGAUCUUUUUUUUUAUUUUUAUACCAGUAAUAUGAAAUCAAGUAAUAUCAGGCCCACCCUUAAGGCCCUGCCAAUUGGACAAAUUAUUUUAGAAAAGUAUUCAGAGUUAACUAGACCGGGGUAAUCCUAUUAUUGUCCUUUAAUUUUAAAAAACGACAAAAUACAUAGAUAUCCAUUGUACAAACUAUAUUGUAUUUAGAUAGUUUGGAGGGGGUGUCAGAGCUUGGGAGAGAAUUGGGACUUGUGUGUGGAUGGGUAGGUGAUAUGUUGUCUGAUGUUUGUGAUUAACUAUUGUGUCAAUAACUUAACUGAUUCUGCGCAGUACCUGUAACGUUACCUUAGGGAAGACGGGAGGACCAAACUGACUUUUUAACCAAAUACAUUCGAGUUUAUUGUUAGGCACAAAAGGCGCGAUGUUACCAAGACGACUGGAAGCAAAACAAAUUGAGCAAAGUGGCAGAUGAAGAUUACAUUUUUGCCUGGUGAAACAUACAAAUCAACGAGCGGCUUGCAACAGCUCCACGCAAUGAUGGAUGACAAAUCAGAGCAAGAUUGAAUUCUUUCCUCGAGGCUUCAAUGAGUCAGCAGCUCAACAUGACGCACAGUCAGCAGCAGAGGGUGAUCUCGGGAAUUGACGGCAGAAGGUGCAACGAGAAGACCAGACAAAACGCAUCACUAAGGACAAACAAUCUAAUGAGUGAGGAGAUACUUGAAAAGAAGGGAUACCUACGCAAGGUGCAAGACGAGCUGCACGAAAGCCAAAUUGAGGAUGCUCUCAUAAGGUAGUGGAGAGAAUAUACAAGGAAAAGCAACUGGAAUAAGAGAGAAUGGCACAAGAACUGACCUGCAUCAGUUAUGUAAAGCUUAGAGAUGAAAAAAUGAGGCAAUAUAUAAAAGAGAACAGGUAAGGGCCUCCCGGGUGUCGCAGUGGUUAAGGGCGCUGUACUGCAGCGCCAGCUGCGCCACCAGAGACUCUGGGUUCACACCCAGGCUCUGUCGUAACCGUCUGCGACCGGGAGGUCCGUGGGGUGACGCACAAUUGG